CUGGGAUCACCUUGACUGCUCUUCUCAUCUUCUGAACUCCUCUGUUCCUCAUCAGAUGUGAUGACCUCUGCAGGUAUCACAGAGACCGGGCACACCUUAUAAGGCUCGGUGUAGGCACGGUGUUGUUCAUCUUCCACCGCAACUUCCCUCGCUGGCUGCCCCGGCCGCUCAGAGCAUCGUCCCGGGGCCGCCACCGCCCUCGCUCCUUGCGGACGCGCCCGGCGCUAGAGCCCCUCUGGGGGCAUGGGAGCGCGGGCGGGGCAGCUGGACCCGGCGCGGCGGGCUGGGCAGGCAGCACUGCCGGCUCGGGGGCGGUCAGCGCCGCGGCGCGCCUCCGCCCUGCCCCGCGCGCGGCCCGUCG
rnacentral:lncRNA from 1 species